CCUACGGGAGGCAGCAGUGAGGAAUAUUGGACAAUGGGCGCAAGCCUGAUCCAGCCAUGCCGCGUGCAGGAAGACGGUCCUAUGGAUUGUAAACUGCUUUUGUACAGGAAGAAACACUCCCUCGUGAGGGAGCUUGACGGUACUGUAAGAAUAAGGAUCGGCUAACUCCGUGCCAGCAGCCGCGGUAAUACGGAGGAUCCAAGCGUUAUCCGGAAUCAUUGGGUUUAAAGGGUCCGUAGGCGGUUUAAUAAGUCAGUGGUGAAAUCUGGUCGCUCAACGAUCAAACGGCCAUUGAUACUGUUAGACUUGAAUUAUUAGGAAGUAACUAGAAUAUGUAGUGUAGCGGUGAAAUGCUUAGAUAUUACAUGGAAUACCAAUUGCGAAGGCAGGUUACUACUAAUGGAUUGACGNUGAUGGACGAAAGCGUGGGAGCGAACAGGAUUAGACUACCCGUGGUAGUCCACGACCGUAAACGAUGGAUACUAGACUGUUCGGUAGACGAUACUGUAGUGGUGUAGACGAAGUAGAUAAGUAUACCACCGUACGGAGGUACGUUACGUCGAGAAGAGAACGACGAAAGAAAGUAGUACGGACGUGAGAGUGACGACGGACGACGACGAGGGAGGAGGNGG
rnacentral:rRNA from 1 species